UCGUCAAGACCUGCCUAUAUAAAGGGAAAUCCCACUGUGUCCACGAAGAUGUACAAACUGAACUUUCUCAACAAGGUCAGUUAUCAGUGAAACAGCCCCGCUUGAAUCAUUUUGAGGAUCUUCCAGUUUCAAGAAUUUUAAGAGAAAACAUCAACAUGGGUGAGCUUUAUUCAGCUCUAUCAUGAAUUCUGCAUAAUAUUAUAGUUGUAAUUUUCUAAAACCAGUUAAAAGAUCCUGUCAUAUCUUUCUGUAUUGUAGGAUGUGAAUUGCCUGUGUGUGUAGUAGAACUCUCUAAACAUUGUGUCUGGAAUAUAAGCCCACAGCAGGGCUUAUUGAAAAAUAACCAUCAAUGAUUAUGUUGUGGUAUGAGUUAGUAUGCACUCAAAUAAUAAAUAAUUGUCUUUAUUUUAGCAAAUCGUUAUGGCGACAUUAGGAGAUUUAACACUACCGGUGCCUCAUGGCCAACAGCAAAUGCUGACAGGAAGGGUUCCAGUGGUAUGUGGUUUCUGACAACUGUUAUAUAUACAAUACCAGUCAAAAGUUUGGACACACCUACCCAUUUGAGAGUUUUUAUUUAUUGUUACUAUUUUCUACAUUGCAGAAUAAUAGCGAAGACAUCAAAACUAUGAAAUAACACAAAAAAAGUGUUAAACAAAUCAAAAUAUAUUUGAUAUUCUCCAAAGUAGCCACCCUUUUCCUUGAUGACAGCUUUGCACACUCUUGGCAUUCUCUCAACCAGCUUCAUGAGGAAUGCUUUUCCAACAGUCUGGAAGGAGUUCGCACAAAUGCUGAGCACUUGUUGGCUGCUUUUCUUGUGUUUCUUGGCCAAAGCCAGUCUCUUCUUCUUAUUGGUGUCUUUAGUAGUGGCUUCUUUGUGGAAAUCCGACCAUAAAGGCCUGAUUCACGCAGUCUUCUUUGAACAGUUGAUGUUGAGAUGUGUUUGUUACUUGAACUCUGUGAAAAAUGUAUUUGCGCUGCAAUCUGAGGUGCAGUUAACUCUAAUGAAUUUAUCCUCUGCAGUGGAGGUAACUCUGGGUCUUCCUUUCCUGUAGCGUUCCUCAUGAGAGCCAGUUUCAUUAUAGCGCUUGAUGGUUUUUGCGACUGCACUUGAAGAAACUUGAAAAGUUCUUGAUAUUUUCCAGAUUUACUGACCUUCAUGUCUUAAAGUAGUGCUGGACUGUCAUUUCUCUUUGGUUAUUUGAGCUGUUCUUGCCUUACCAAAUAGGGCUGUCUUCUGUAUACCACCCCUACCUUGUCACAACACAACUGAUUGGCUCAAACGCAUUCAUUUUUAGAAGGAAAGAAAUUCCACAAAUUAACUUUUAACAAGGCACACCUGUUAAUUUAAACGCAUUCCAGGUGACUACCUCAUGAAGCUUGUUGAUAGAAUGCCAGGAGUGUGCAAAGCUGUCACCAAGGCAAACAGUGGCUAAUUUGAUGAAUCUCAAAUAUUUGUUUAACACUUUUUUGUUGGUUACUACAUGAUUCCAUGUGUGUUAUUUCAUAGUUUUGAUGUCUUGACUAUUAUUCUACAAUGUAGAAAAUAGUAAAAAGAAAGAAAGAGCCUGGAAUGAGAAGGUGUGUCCAAACUUUUGACUGGUACUGUAUGUAUAAAUUCAGUACACAUAAAUAAUCAAUAUUGCUAGUCUAUAUGGGACAUAGUUAUGUCUUCAUUAAUGCCCAGGUCUAUCUGUGUGUCUCAAGGUGCAGCUUGUUGCAAUUAUGGGUGGGGCUUGGCUGUUAAUUAGCACGUCUUUAGCUUAUUCCUGGGCAAGACCUUAACCAUGUCACACACACAUUCAUCUAAUAAUUCAAUGUCAUAGAAAAGCAAACACAGAAUGGUAAUAACAUUCUUAUUCUUGUUUGCAAUCAAUUCUCAAGGUGUGUCAGCAUCUCAUGAAAUGGCAAAGCGUGAUCGCCCCUACGUGGACAAGUACAAGGGCCGCAUCACCAAUGCAGGGCAAAAGUAUGGAGUGGACCCAGCUGUCCUCGGUGGUGUCAUCUCUAGAGUCCAGGGGUGGGACAGGACUGGUCAAUGGCUCAGGGGACAAUGCAAAUGUCCAUGGGCUACUACAGGAGGUCAUGUCUAAGUUUUUCUAGGUUGACAAGCGCUGCCACCGUCCACAGGGGGCAUGGGACAGUCAGGAGCAUAUCGAACACGGCGCACAGAUUUUGGCUGGCUCCUAUUCAGAUGUUGAGGAAAAAUAUCCUCACUGGACCAAGCAGCAGAAGCUGAAAGGGGUGUUGGCAGCCUACAAUAUGGGGCCUGGCAGCAUCUCCUCAUAUGAGCAGGUGGACGCUAAAACCACUGGAGGGGACUAUUCAAAUCAAAUCAAAUGUAUUCAUAUAGCCCUUCUUACAUCAGCUGAAAUCUCAAAGUGCUGUACAGAAACCCAGCCUAAAACCCCAAACAGCAAGCAAUGCAGGUGUAGAAGCACGGUGGCUAGGAAAAACUCCCUAGAAAGGCCAGAACCUAGGAAGAAACCUAGAGAGGAACCAGGCUAUGAGGGGUGGCUAGUCUUCUUCUGGCUGUGCCGGGUGGAGAUUAUAACAGAACAUGGCCAAGAUGUUCAAAGAUGACCAACAGGGUCAGGGAGAGAGAGGGAGAGAGAGGGAGAGGGAGAGCACAUACUUAAAUGCACACAGUACACCAGAUAAGACAGGAGAAAUAGUCCAGAUAUAACAGACUGACUAUUACCCCCUGACACAUAAACUACUGCAGCAUAAAUACUGGAGGCUGAGACAGGAGGGGUCGGAAGACACUGUGGCCCCAUGCGACGAUACCCCCGGACAGGGCCAAACAGGAAGGAUAUAACCCCACCCACUUUGCCAAAGCACAGCCCCGACACCACUAGAGGGAUAUCUUCAAUCACCAACAUACCAUCCUGAGACAAGGCCGAGUAUAGCCCACAAAGAUCUCUGCCACGGCACAACCGAAAAGGGGGCGCCAACCCAGACAGGAAGAUCACGUCAGUGACUCAACCCACUCAAGUGACGCACCCCUCCUAGGGACGGCAUAGAAGAGCACCAGUAAGCCAGUGACUCAGCCCCUGUAAUAGGGUUAGAGGCAGAGAAUCCUAGUGGAGAGGGGAACCGGCCAGGCAGAGACAGCAAGGGCGGUUCGUUGCUCCAGUGCCUUUAUGUUCACCUUCACACUCCUGGGCCAGACUACACUCAAUCAUAGGACCUACUGAAGAGAUGAGUCUUCAAUAAAGACUUAAAGGUUGAGACCGAGUCUGCGUCUCUCACAUUGGUAGGCCGACAAUUCCAUAAAAAUGGAGCUCUAUAUGAGAAAGCCCUGCCUCCAGCUGUUUGCUUAGAAAUUCUUGGGACAAUAAGGAGGCCUGCGUCUUGUGACCGUAGCGUACGUGUAGGUAUGUACGGCAUACCUACACGGUUAGGUAUGGUUAGCAGUAAAACCGUGAAAUCAGCCCUUGCCUUAACAGGAAGCCAGUGUUGAGAGGCUAGCACUGGAGUAAUACGAUCAAAUGUAGAAUCUAGUCAAGAUUCUAGCAGCCGUGUUCAGCACUAACUGAAGUUUAUUUAGUGCUUUAUCCGGGUAGCCGGAAAGUAGAGCAUUGCAGUAGUCUAACCUAGAAGGGACAAAAGCAUGGAUACAUUUUUCUGCAUCACUUUUGGACAGAACGUUUCUGAUUUUUGCAAUGUUACGUAGAUGGAAAAAAGCUGUCCUUGAAAAAGGCUUGACUAUUCCAAUGAUGUUGUAGCCAGAGCUCAAUAUUUCAAAAAGCAUGGCUAUUAAAGUCUCACAGGUUGACUGGCAGUCUGUCAUUCCAAGGAAAGAGAAUUACAUCUUCUGUUUUUGAGUUUUGCUAUAAUCUCCUAUUAAAACUUUGGAUUGCAAUUGUAUGCUCAUAAACAAUAGUUGUAAUCUGUUGUAAUCUGUAGGAUAUUACAGACAUUAUUGUAUUGUUUUUUGCACGUGUUUUUGCAUUCAUCUCUAAUAUUAUAGUUCCCUUCACUUUCUGAGAAAGAUCCUGUAAUAAGUCAUGUAAGGCUUUGCAGUCUAAGGGUUUACAACAAUACUUUACAUUACACAUCACACAAGUGCCUAAUAAAACGCAUUAUAAACCUACAACUGUAUUUUAUUGACCUCUGAUUAA